rnacentral:RNase_P_RNA from 1 species
AGUGUGGGCUGGAGCGCCGCUGUAUUGUGAAAAUUGAUGCAGAGGAAAGUCCGGACUCCAAAAAACUUUUUGGCCUAGGCUUAAAAGGGUGGGCACCAGGCCAGUUAACGGCUGGGCGGAGUGAUCCGACGGAAAGUGCAACAGAAAACAAACCGCCUAUUGUCGCUCGCGGCAUAGGUAAGGGUGAAAUGGUGGGGUAAGAGCCCACCGCUGGAUCGGUAACGAUACAGGCAUGGUAAACCCCCUGGGGAGCAAAACCAAAUAGGUCGGCGUACCUUAACUGGUGAAAGAUUGGCCCAAUCAAGCCGAUGGGUAGGUUGCUAGAGGUGGCAGGCGACUGUCAUCCCAGAGGAAUGGCGCUCUUUUACAGAAUCCGGCUUAUAGGCCCACCUUAGAG